rnacentral:rRNA from 1 species
AGAGUUUGAUCAUGGCUCAGGACGAACGCUGGCGGCGUGCUAAUACAUGCAAGUCGAGCGAGCUUGCCUAGAUGAUUUUAGUGCUUGCACUAAAUGAAACUAGAUACAAGCGAGCGGCGGACGGGUGAGUAACACGUGGGUAACCUACCCCAAAGUCCGGGAUAACAGCGGGAAACCGCUGCUAAUACCGGAUGUCUUUACCUUGGGGCAUCUUGAGGUAAAGAAAGGCAACGCUUUGGGAUGGGCCCGCGUCCCAUUGGCUAGUUGGUGAGGUAACGGCUCACCAAGGCGACGAUGGGUAGCCGGCCUGAGAGGGUGGACGGCCACACUGGGACUGAGACACGGCCCAGACUCCUACGGGAGGCAGCAGUAGGGAAUAUUGCGCGAUGGACGGAAGUCUGACGCAGCGACGCCGCGUGAGCGAUGAAGGUCUUCGGAUCGUAAAGCUCUGUCCUUGGGGAAGAAGGUCUUCGGACUUGACGGUACCCAAGAAGAAAGCCCCGGCUAACUACGUGCCAGCAGCCGCGGUAAUACGUAGGGGGCGAGCGUUGUCCGGAAUUACUGGGCGUAAAGGGUGCGUAGGCGGCCCUUUAAGUCGGAUGUGAAAGCCCGCGGCUUAACCGCGGAAUGGCAUUCGAAACUGGAGGGCUUGAGUGUCGGAGAGGGUAGUGGAAUUCCCAGUGUAGCGGUGAAAUGCGUAGAUAUUGGGAGGAACACCAGUGGCGAAGGCGACUACCUGGACGAUAACUGACGCUGAGGCACGAAAGCUAGGGGAGCAAACAGGAUUAGAUACCCUGGUAGUCCUAGCCGUAAACGAUGGGUACUAGGUGUGGGUGGUUUCGAUACCAUCCGUGCCGUAGUUAACGCAUUAAGUACCCCGCCUGGGGAGUACGUGCGCAAGCAUGAAACUCAAAUGAAUUGACGG